rnacentral:rRNA from 1 species
GGAGGUUGGCUUAGAAGCAGCCAUCCUUGAAAGAGUGCGUAAUAGCUCACUGGUCGAGUGGUUGUGCGCCGAUAAUGUAGCGGGGCUUAAGCGUGCCGCCGAAGCCGUGGCAAUAACUUUUUGUUUUUGGGUAGGGGAGCGUCCUGCUCUGGGUGAAGCUGCCUGGUGAUGGGUGGUGGACGGGGUGGGAGUGAGAAUGCAGGCAUGAGUAGCGUUUCGUGGGUGAGAAUCCUACGCGCUGAUUGACUAAGGGUUCCAGGGGCAGGUUUGUCCGCCCUGGGUUAGUCGGGUCCUAAGGCGAGGCCGACAGGCGUAGUCGAUGGGUGACCAGUUGAUAUUCUGGUACCGUUUGUUUUCCGUCUAACGCUGCAUGCUUUCGCGUCGUGUGCUUGCCGUGCGUGGUGUUGUCUUUCGGGAUGAUGCUGAGUGUGGCUGUGUGUGGUGUGGGGUGUGUGGUGAGCAUUGGGGUGACGCAGGGAGGUAGUUGCUGCACACUGGUGGUUAUGUGUGUCUAAGGUUGUGGCCUGUUUCUUGGGUGAAAUCCGGGAAGCUGCGUUUGAUCGCGUGGGUGAGGGCUGAUGGGGCUGCCUGUUGGGGUGGCUAGUGGUGAUCCUGUACUGCCGAGAAAAGCCUGGAUGUGAGGAAGAUGAGCGCCCGUACCCUAAACCGACUCUGGUGGUCAGGUAGAGUAUACCGAGGCGUGCGAGUGAAUCAUGGUUAAGGAAUUCGGCAAAUUGCCCCCGUAACUUUGGGAUAAGGGGGGCCCUGCUGGUGUGCCUGCUUUUGCGUGGGUGGUGCUGGUUGGGGUCGCAGAGAAUUGGGAGAAGCGACUGUUUAUUAAAAACAUAGGUGUGUGCUAAGCCGUAAGGCGCUGUAUACGCACUGACGCCUGCCCGGUGCUGGAAGGUUAAGAGGACGACUUAACUGCUUUUUUGUGGUGAAGGUUUGAAUUUAAGCCCCAGUAAACGGCGGUGGUAACUAUAACCAUCCUAAGGUAGCGAAAUUCCUUGUCGGGUAAGUUCCGACCUGCACGAAUGGCGUAACGACUUCUCCGCUGUCUCGACCGUGAUCUCGGUGAAAUUGCAGUACGAGUAAAGAUGCUCGUUUCGCGCAGCAGGACGGAAAGACCCCGGGACCUUUACUAUAGCUUGGUAUUGGUGUGUGUUUGUGCUUGUGUAGGAUAGGUGGGAGACUGUGAUGCCGUGCCGCUAGGUGUGGUGGAGUCGUUGGUGAAAUACCAUUCUGGUUCAAGUAUGCAUCUAACUUGGAGCCCUGAUCGGGUUUGGGGACAGUGCCUGGUGGGUAGUUUAACUGGGGCGGUUGCCUCCUAAAGGGUAACGGAGGCGCUCAAAGGUUCUCUCAGCCUGGUUGGUGAUCAGGUGGUGAGUGUAAGUGCACAAGAGGGCUUGACUGUGACACUGACGGGUGGAGCAGGUACGAAAGUAGGAACUAGUGAUCCGGCCAUGGCUUGUGGAAGCGUGGUCGCUCAACGGAUAAAAGGUACCCCGGGGAUAACAGGCUGAUCUUGCCCAAGAGUCCAUAUCGACGGCAUGGUUUGGCACCUCGAUGUCGGCUCGUCGC